GUGCUCAUUUAGGCAGCACAUACAGUAAAAUUGGAAACAUACAGAAAAGAUUAGCAUGGCCCCUGCACAAAGAUGACAUGCAAAUUUGUCAAGCAUUCCAUAUUUAA